UUUUCUUUGGAUUAGUGCUACUUCACUCUUACACAUAGUAAAGCUGCGACAGUAUGAUAAACGUCAUUUUUAAGUUAGGAGAAGUACGAAGUUAGCUGAUGUCUUUCCUGUUAUUUUUAUUUAGUCACUGUUUACAUUGGACAUUUAUUUGUAGAUGUUGUUAGACGAAUAUUCUGUUUGGUUUUGUUUUUUAUUGUUAAUUGUGCAGCGAAAUUGUGAUAGUAAAUUAAAUAUAAAGUUGUUUAUAGCCUACAGAACUGAAUUAUCCCAUAGUAAUUAUCAGUUUGUGUCAAUUUGUUUGUGUGCAAAAAAGAAAAAACACCUUUCCUUGUGUUUGACCGACUUGUAGCAAGGGCUUUCUUGAGAAGCCUGUAAAUUGCGGGAAUAGGACAGACAGGGAUAAAAUCCUCACUUUUUACUGUUCCCAAGGCUAUACAUUUCCCCCAUGCAAUACAUUUAAAUGAAUUUUAUCCAAACAAAGGCAGGAACAUUGGAUAAAAGCAAUAAAGAGAACAGACCACAAAUUAAAAUAUGAGAGUAUGUAGUAAACAUUUUAUAAGUGGCAAGUUUAAAGUAAUUCAACUAAGUAAUAAGUUUUGAAAAUGUCUACAAUAAAAAUAUAUAUGUACUUUCCAAUUCGGUUCUAGUUUAGAACAAGGGUUAUGUAAAGAAAAUCAUGCUUGACCAUGAAUAAACACCAGCUAUUUUAAAUGUAGGAAAAGGAGAAACUGCUGGAAUCUAAUUUUACACAAAUGUUUUUGACUAUUGAAGAUUUGGAUAAACAACAGAAGUUACUUUGGGCUAUAGCUAUGUGCAGAUUUAUUUCCUUGUGGAUUACUAUGUUUAUUCUUUUUAACUAUACUUCCUAUAUUGUUUGUGAGAUUAAUAUUAUUAUUUAAUUGAUUAUAUUAAUAUUUUGUAAUAAUAAUCAAUGCUUUGGUUUAACAAAUAGACAACUUAGAAUAGAAAAA